GGGAUAUAGCUCAGAUGGGAGAGCGCUUGAAUGGCAUUCAAGAGGCCGUGGGUUCGAGUCCCAUUAUCUCC
rnacentral:tRNA from 1 species